ensembl:lncRNA
GUUAGAGAGCAUGCGCAACAAGCGAUGUUUUGAAUUUCUGCGUCGAAUUUGCUGAAACUACGAAGAAGUAGAGAGACUGCUUGCAUUUUACCUCUGGACAAAGACUGAUUACUUCUACACAAUAUAAUAAGCAUGCAAAUGAGGGGAAAAACUUCAAGAUAUCAGCCCUAAAAAUCGGCAGCACAUAUCGGCCAUCGGCUGACCCUGACCUCUAAACAUCGGCAUCGGCUAUAGAAAAACCCAUAUCGGUCGAUCUCUACUCUGAACAGCGGUCUUGUGAACAUGGGCCUCAGUACAAUAAAGAACCCAGAUUCGUCAGAACUACACACCCAUCUGAGGCCUACUGUACCUGUUUUACUUCAUGAUCACCCCAGAUACUUCUACAAUUGACCCGCUUUGUGUCUGAUAUUGAUGCAGUCUGGGCACUAGUAUCUGUUGGCUUGCUGACUAUCACUGAAGAUGAAGUACUUCUCCAAAUCUUCUCUGCCUUGACCCUGUGUCUUCUGCCAUCAUUGUUCAGUGUAGUACUGCAAAGAACCGUCUCCAGGGUCUACCUCGCACAUUUGCUUCCGGACCGCCAUGUGCUACGUUUGGAUUACUGGUACAUGAAGAUUACCCUGAUACUGUGAAGAACACUUACAAUAUGAUGCUUGACUUGGGACAGAAAAAAAAAAACACUGGCAACUUGUGUGGCCAACUCAUUGCCAUACUUAAUCUCAUCUUACUGCUACCUCCACUGUUUAGUAUAAACAAAAGCAGACAGUUUUUGCUUUGUUUCAAAAUGUUUGUAAUACAAGUUAAAACUGCAUUGAAAAAUAUAAAAAAUAUAUUAUCUUUAACUUUGAACUGUCACUACCUUUGAUUUAUGGGUAAUUAUGUGUGUGAAGAAUAGAACAUUGUUGUCAUGAAUUUUUAAUGGAUGUUUGAACCAUAUUAAGUUACUGGAGUAACGCUAACUUCUUCUUUUUUUUGUUUUUUUUAUUUAAGGCAAUUGGUUAAAACUAGAUUGCUGUUCAAGUAAAUACAACUUAGAAAUGUUACUUGAUUUAGCUAAACUUAAAUGAGUUGUUUGAAAUACGCACAUAGUAUAUUGCAAUUAAUAAUUUAGUUGUUGAAAAAAGUGAUUCUGAGUUACAAGAACUUGAGUGUAAGUUUACAACAAAUAAACCUUUGUUAGUACAAAUUACUAUUCUUAUUUCACUUUACUUGUUUUUUUUUCAAGGCAAUCGGUUUGCAUGCUUUUUUAAAAUAACUAAUUAGAAUCAGACAACUUCCCUGCCCAGUGAACACUAGUGAGAUCAACUCAGAACACUGUAGCUGUAAUAAAGUACUGUUAUUAUAGUUACUAUACUGUACUACACUGUGUGGUUCUUUCAGCUCUCUCUUCAGUGCUAGGAUGCAUUUUUAAAGCAGUCACCUGUGCUCCUGUUUAUACUAUCCUGAGAUUCUGACUGGUGUCAUCAGUUUUGCUACUGAAUGCUUGCUAAUUGUGUGUUAUUUGAGUUCACACUGUGACACUAGAGUUAAUUAUUUGAUGUGUAUGUGUUUUAUGAGUGAGAACAUAAAAUAUCUGUAAAAUGAGGCCAACUUUGGAGAAAUCAUUAAAAAAAUUGGAAUGUGUGGAUAGAUGCAUUCCAGUAUAAUAUAUAGCCUAGAAUAUUAUAAUUUCUAAAAUACUAAAUUAUUAAAACAUUACAUGAUUGAAGUGUUUACUCAUGGUCCAUCGUUAAUUUAGAAUUUGGCCUUUGGAUUUAACUGUGUUAAUGCAUUAAGCCAUUUUUCGAUUAACGGUUUUCUGGGGGACAAAACACAUAAACUUAUAAAAAUGUUGUCUUUCCAUUUACUUUAUACUGCCAUUAUCUUGUGCCAUUAGUGAUAUAUGGUGCUUACAAGAAAGCUGUGAAUUGGUUGUUCCUGGUUGUUGUUUUACAAGUGCACUUCUAAACAACAUUGUAAGUUCAUUGAUUAGCUAUAUUGCAGUGUAAUUUUAAUUUUACUCGUCAUAUUUUCGUCAACGUUCUGAACGUUAUGAAAUAUUCGGGGAUUUGGAGGUGCUAAAAUGAUAUAACAUGCAGGUUUUUUUGUUUCUUUUUGCUCCAAACAAAACAAAACACUAAUCUACAGCACUUAAGACAUUUGACAAAAUCACACACACAACUGGCAAAAGGUAUUACAGACGACAAGGCGUAGACGUCACGUAGCUUCUCACGCGAGAAGUGGGGCGACGAAAGUGUCGCGCUUCUUAUCACACAUCCUUGGUCACGGCAAGGUAC